CGUAGGGAUAGCGGCCCCGGGGGGUGACCACCUCGCCCGCGUCGCGGUCGAUGGCGGUGACGGCCUCGUCGAGGCGCAGUUCGAUGCCGUGCUCGGCGU
rnacentral:tRNA from 1 species